UCAUUGCUGGAAUUAGCGUCCUCACAGGCGCUACCCAGAAACCCUAUGUGAAUCUUACCCACUGUUGCCUCGGCAUUGAUUGGCUUUCUSGGAAGUCCCUCUAUAUUAUAUAGAGGAGCAGAUCGGCCGGUGGCCCUAUAAACCCUUGUCUUCGUACAUCAUYUGAGUAAAGAAACAAAAUAAAUCAAAACUUUCAACAACGGAUCUCUUGGUUCUGGCAUCGAUGAAGAACGCAGCGAAAUGCGAUAAGUAAUGUGAAUUGCAGAAUUCAGUGAAUCAUCGAAUCUUUGAACGCACAUUGCGCCCGGUGGUAUUCCACCGGGCAUGCCUGUUCGAGCGUCAUUUCACCCCUCAAAGCCUAGCUUUGGUGUUGGAGGAGUACCUGUAAUAGGGUACCCUCUGAAAUUUAGUGGCGGUCACGCUAGAAUUUUGAGCGUAGUAAUUUUACCUCGUUUGUAAAGACUAGUGGGUUCUUGCCGUAAAACCCCCCAACUUUCAGA
rnacentral:rRNA from 1 species